rnacentral:lncRNA from 1 species
AGGUUUGUCGCCCACCUUUUUGAGUCUCUUAGAUGUGGAUUGAGUUUGGUUCAAAAUAGAGUUCAAAUCUAAUUUGAAUUCAUGAUAAGAUCAUAUUUGAACCUAAACCAAAAUGUUCAAACUCUAUCCUUAUCUUAAUGGGACGCCACCUUAAGAAGGGAUGAUUUUUGUGCACCCAUCAAAUUACUUUUGGUGUGAGAGAACCUCAAGGUUUAGCCAUGAGAAAUCUGAAAGAGGGGUGGGCAUCCGUGCAUGAGAAAAUGAGGAAGAAAGUUCUUCUUUGGGUGUGAGAUCAAGGGUGGACUUCUAGGGUUUCCUAGUUCCAACUU